GACGAACCGUGCGAACGUUGCUCGGAAUCACUGGGCGUAAAGCGCACGUAGGCGGAUUUGCCAGUCAGGGGUGAAAUCCCGGGGCUCAACCUCGGAACUGCCUUUGAUACAGCAAGUCUUGAGUUCGAGAGAGGUGGGUGGAAUUCCUAGUGUAGAGGUGAAAUUCGUAGAUAUUAGGAAGAACACCGGUGGCGAAGGCGGCCCACUGGUCCGGUACUGACGCUGAGGUGCGAAAGCGUGGGGAGCAAACAGG
rnacentral:rRNA from 1 species